CCUUGCUUUCGUGCCACUGUAACUGUAAGCCUGCUUCAAGCUAGCCCACCCCCUUUUUAAAGUGUGUAUAAAAGUCAAGUGCUCGGAGUCGCUUCCAAGAUGGCCAAAUAGGAACAGCUCCAGUCUGCAGCUCCCAGCGAGAUCAACACAGAAGACAGGUCUCUCUCUGGCCCUCCUGGUCUCGCAAUGGUGAGACAUGCCUUUCACCUUCCACCAUGAUUGUGAGGCCUCCCCAGCCACAUGGAAUUACAAGAAACAGGUUCAGGGAGCAAAAGGUUUCCAGCAGCAAGAGGUUGCCAAGAAGAUAAACACCAACCCACUUACUCACCAUCCAAUAUCACCAGCCACCAUUGACAUAACAAGGAAAGGAAAGCUGUCUCAGCAGGGUUCAUGUGGUGGUCAGAUAAGAAAAUGUGUUUGAACUGUCUAGAUGAUAUUAAUUGGAUCCCUGCUUAUUUCUUUAAAUAAAUGUUUGUAAGUAAAUAGGUAUAUCCAGGUAUCUGUAUUUCUUUAGACCAUGUUUGGAUGAUAAAUCUUUUGGUUAAUGAUGGUGAUUAGUCA
rnacentral:lncRNA from 1 species